AUGCCAUAUAUUAAGAAGCAAUGCUUGCUGGGGGUCAGGUUCCUAGCAUCAAUCAUUAACCACCAAAUGGCUUAUGCCAUUAGCUUAGUCUUUGUGUUCCAGCAUCGGUACCCUGUGGGAGUUAGUUCCCAUUACCUGCAAGACUUCAGUAGAAUUCAAGAAUGGCCAAACUUCUUCACACCAGGAAUGAACAUUUAUCUUAUACCCACUUUAUAUUUGGUACUGCAUAGUAGUUAUAAAAAGACUUGUGUCUUCUUGGAUCAGGUAAGUUGCAAAUCUGCCACCACUAGCAGUUUGGCACAGUGGAGUUACAAGUAUUCACACAACCCUGCCAACUCUCUAAAGUGAUUUUCGGAAGCUACCAACCUAGAAAAAUGAGCAACAGUUAGAGACCUAGCAGGAUUACAAAUAAAUGGAUAUCUAAAUUGAAGAAGAAUGGGGGGUGCAUGGAAACCAUCCAGGGAGUUGAAACUGGACAGCUAAAAGAUCAAACUGUUCGCCUAUAAAAGAAGAGAGAAAAGUAGAGUUGAAAGGUUAAAUAAAAACAGAAAAUCAUUCUGCCCAAAGAAAGCUAAAUAUAUAGAUGUGUGUGUACUUGCUAAAGACAAAAAGUAAAGUGUGUCCACAGUAUCAAUGAAAUGCCUGAAGUAAGUUUCUAAUUGUCUCUUUUACAUACAAAUGUGAAAAGAUAUAUUCGGAAAAGAAAGUUUAGUACAUGCAUGUAUUAGUUCAUGGGUAAUCAGUCUGAGUUUGUUACAACCACCUGAAGUUCUGCUUAGGAGAAACACAACAAAAUACCACCGCUGAUAGCCAGAUCUCUUCUCUACCCUCAUUGAAGGCCGGGAGAAAACAAGCCUGGAAGAGAACUGAAUUAGGUGCUGAAAGGUCUCUGAGGAGUCAGAUGUGCUCCCGAGAAUCCAGAUACACAUGUAUUCUAAAUCUGUGCCAAGGUCAGGCACAUGGUGGAGAGAAAACUCAGCUUCGGAAGACCUGCUGUUUCCACGGGAAACAUGAAAUGUUCCCAUCUCCCCAACAGAUCUACUUGGGGCUGUUGUCGACUUCAAGAAGUAGUGAGAUGUCUAUAACUCACAAAAGACUUCUCAACAAAACCCAGAAUCCUGGGAAUGAGGGCAUGAAUCCAAAUGGAGGGAGGGGUUAGCUGUGGAGGCUAAUGUUUCAAAGAUCCCAAUAUAUCUCUUGGAGGGAGUUCUCAUAUUUCUGUAUAAAUCUGUUUUCUUUUUACUGGAGAAGCAUCAGCUGAUGCUGAGACUGAGAACUCACGAGGGGCUGCUUUGGCCUGAUUGAAAAGGGCAAUGGGGAGAAGAAAGACUGAUAGCUGUCAAUGGUCGAGGGUCCAGGCCAGUUGCCAAUAAGUGAGAAGGCCACUGUGGUUGGUUCAUCACUUCAGUCCUGCCAAACAGAGGCACUUCAAGAAAAGACAGGGCUCUGGGGCCAGAGAGGGAACAUUGGUUGAUGGUCGGUGGUGGGUGG
rnacentral:lncRNA from 1 species